AGCAGAUAAUGGACUUAAGAACCUGGCAGAGUAUAAAGAGCAUAAAUUUUUUAACAUUAGCUUAAGCAGAUUCUUCAAUAUUACAAAACCAAGACUGAAAUGUCUAACUGUAGAGAUUUUACUGUUCUCGGACCAAUAUCUACUAAUGGCAUAAUAAGUUUUGUAUGACAUGAAAAGGAGAAUUGGAAUUCACAUUCGAAGUAAAGACAAAAAACUAUAUAAGAGAUGAGACCCUGAAUGAGCAUAUACAAUUUCUUUGUGCAGCAGAACUGAACAACAUAGAAGUGAUGGAAAUCAGGUUGGUAGUCAAGUCCAUGAAACAAAUGCAAAAUUCAAGAAUUGAUCAA
rnacentral:misc_RNA from 1 species